UCUUAUGGAUAAAUAAAGAAAGUGAUUUCUGAAGAUGGAAUCUACUCCUGGUGAAGAUGCUGGGAA
rnacentral:pre_miRNA from 1 species